GAUGAACGCUGGCGGCGUGCCUAAUACAUGCAAGUAGAACGCUGAAGGAGGAGCUUGCUCUUCUGGAUGAGUCGCGAACGGGUGAGUAACGCGUAGGUAACCUGCCUGGUAGCGGGGGAUAACUAUUGGAAACGAUAGCUAAUACCGCAUGACAACAGUUAUUGCAUGAUAACUGUUUAAAAGGGGCAACUGCUCCACUACCAGAUGGACCUGCGUUGUAUUAGCUAGUUGGUGAGGUAACGGCUCACCAAGGCGACGAUACAUAGCCGACCUGAGAGGGGGAUCGGCCACACUGGGACUGAGACACGGCCCAGACUCCUACGGGAGGCAGCAGUAGGGAAUCUUCGGAAAUGGACGGAAGUCUGACCGAGCAACGCCGCGUGAGUGAAGAAGGUUUUCGGAUCGUAAAGAUCUGUUGUAAGAGAAGAACGAGUGUGAGAGUGGAAAGUUCACACUGUGACGGUAGCUUACCAGAAAGGGACGGCUAACUACGUG
rnacentral:rRNA from 1 species